AGCGGCUCGAGCGGAGCAGCCGCCGCCCGUGCCAAGAGCGGCGGAGAUCUUAUCGGCAGGAGGAAGUGCUGAGCUAUCGCGCUGCUUUUCUCCGAACCGUCGACUUUACCAGGUUCAUGGUUACUCCUGCUGUGGUACCAAAGCUGCGCAGACCUGACUACAAACCUGCAAGUGGAAGGAAAACCCAGCAUGCCUCUGGAAAUCACCCUGUGAUUCAUAGGGUGACAUUCCUCUGAGUAAGCAUCGAGCUCAUGUCCAGCUUGAAGAUCGUUGUGAUUUAUGAAAUACAAAUAUGUGAUGUACAUCCAAGGCCACGAGUCGUGUCAUCUGCGAUGUUCUCUGCAGCAUCUAUGUUGGUAUUUGCCAGUCAUGAAUUCCCCACCACCUUCGGUGAACAAUUAGGCUGAUGACUACAGUGCUGUGAGUCAUUUCGUCAGUUUGAGUGCUAAAGGUCUGUGGGACGGAUUGAAUGAUUCCAGUCCUACUGAUGAUCCAUGUGGGUGUGAACAUGCCACAUGAUGGAACGUCUGUGGUUUUGAGUGUUGGAAAUUACAGACAAGGCGUAGUUUGUAGGUAAAAUCAAUAUCUUCUGGCAGACCAGCUGGUAGUCAGAAAAAUAUAUGACUUGAAGAGGGUUUCUGCAGAGAACCAGAGAUGCAAAAAAAAAAGAAUAGGUUUGGAAGAGACCUCGGGUAGUAUGUAGUCCAGCCUCCUGCUCAAAGCAUGGCCAGCUGUGGGAGCAUAUCUGGCUGCUCAGAGCUUUAUCCAGGUUACUCUUAAAAGCCUUGAAGUCCCUUGGAGAACUGUGUAAUCCAAAAUUAGGAGACUGAUUUGUCUCACUGUGUGUAUGGAUGUUGAUACUGCUGCUAAAUAUAAAGCAAGAUGCAAUUCCUUUCACAAGCACCCCUGCUUCAUUCAGAUCACAGUAUGGAUGUAUAUGUAAUAGGAAGGGGCUCAUAAGGAGGCACAUAGAAAGAUGUUUAUAACAGCUUUGAUUCCAGAAGUUAGAUGGCAUGUAAUCAUUAAGUAAGGUGGACUGUAGAAGUGAAGAUUUAGUCUGGUGGAUAAGUCUGAAUUAUCAUUAUUUGUUUGUGCAGAUAAUUUUCAAUCUACUGAUGGGUGAGUCUUGUACUUUCAACUGUAACUAAAAGAUAACUGAAGGGUUGGAACUGUUAGGUAUUUCUGGUUUUCAUCUAGAAAAUGAAAGGUGGAGUAAAAUGAGUUGUUUCAGUAAGACCAAAGAACGUACAUCUUGAUAAUUUAGAGAAACGUCAUCUCUAGUACGCUAGAGAUUGCUAUUAGCUGGUGGAAUUCUUCUGAAUAGGAUCACACUUGGUUUUGUGUGGCUUUGAGGCUUUGUCCUGAAAGUAAAAUCUUGGCCUUUCUAUUGGGUAAAUAUUUCAACUUAUGUAUUUUCCUACUUAAAAGAAUGCUGAAAUUCAGCAAGCACUGAUCAUCUGCCUGCAAGAACAACUAAGUUAACUUGAAUCUAUGUCCAACCAUUCCAGAAGUAGCCAACAUCUUUGAGAUAUUAUGAUACAGUAACAUUCAGUGAAAUAUAAUGAUGUUACUAACUGAAAUCUGUGUUCUGUGCUGCUAAAACAAAAAGUAUGUUAAACUCUGUCAUAUAAAGCUCACAUUUACUGUGAGUCCAGGAACAAUGUUAUCCUAACAUCUACUCCCUUACAGAAGUCCAUAACAAAAUUGUUCUCCUUUAUGAUCUUUCAGAAUUGAUGUAUUUUAUUAGUUUUGAUUUAGGUCACUAGGAUGCUUAGGUGUACAUAAAUUUAUGAACUGAUUUUGAUAAGAAUUGCAUGGAAACAAAUCUCCUUCCACACACUCCACACAAAACCCCAAUCAUGUUGCAGUGUCUUCUUUUCUUUUUCUUUCUUUCUUUUUUUUUUUUUUUUUCUUCUUAAAAUGUGUGUGAAAUAUGGACAGGUGGGGUUAAAACAUCUGACACUCUGGAACAGACCACUCACUGUCCAGAAACGUGAGACUCAAGGCUCAGAAAGGAAAAGUGUAACAAUACUACUAAGAAUGCCUCUUUUUGUUCACCAUCUGCUUAAAAGAACAAAACAGCUGCUUAAACAGGAUGUAGAUAACAUCAUCCCCAAUGUCCCUUUGUAAACAUUUUCCAAGGAGACAGUGAUUAGCUACUUCCUUUACAGGAUAUCUCUUGGUCAGCACCAGGAGGGGGGACACUGUUUAUUAGAAAUAUAGAAGUGAAUUGUUUUAACCUUUUAAAAGUACUUUCACAGAUAAAUUGUUGUGGCUCUGACAGUACCUUUGCAAAAGUGACAGGAUGAAAGUCAGGCUCAGAGAAAUGUGGGUUUUUUUGGUGUUUUGGGUGUGUGCUUUAAUGUAAUACUUAAAAAUUCUGUUUUUUGAAUACCAAGUAAAAUUGCAGUGAUCCUUUUAACUGGAAAGAAAUGUAGAUACAUGAUUUCCAACAGAUAGAGCUGCUCUGAAACUUCCAAACAGAAUGCACAAAAUCUGAUUUUGCUGUUGCAGAGCUGAAGGCCAGUAUUAAUGGUUUUGCCCAUUCUAUUUGCCUUGACAAAUAUAAGUGGUAGGGAUUGUAUGAAGAAGUACGAGUGACAGAUGAGGAGAAAGGAGUAAUCACAGGGGUUUCACAGAAUGUGGGUGUUUUAGGAAUGGUGUUUCUCUGCCCUUUGCUGCCUUUCUGAUCUUGUAAGCAGGGCAGAAAACAUUUCCAAACGGAUUUCACCCUUAAGUGCAAGCUAGUGCUGAUGUGAACUGAACACCAAUUGAAUGCUGAAUGUAGGUGGAUAUAAUGCAAUGUGUCAAUAAGUUCCAGAUUCCUUCUCUCCUAAGGGACCACCUUUCCUUUUGUAUUGCUUUAGGGGAAAUGCUCUUUUCCCUUCCAACCUGGUUUUGCUUACUCCUCCCACUGCUCUUGGCAUGCUUAGUAUGAGUCAGCUAAGGAAGCAAGAGAGAAAAAGCAUCUUCCCCCAAACUCACCCCAGCAUACCAUGGAGCUCUUGGUGCUGGGGGAUCAACAGAACAGGGUUGUAAACAAAGGUAGAGUGGCUACACCAAUGCCAGUGGUCGCUGAGGUCUUUCUGUCAUCUGUUGUUAUUGAUGCAAGAAUUAAUGGAAAGCUGGAUAUUAUUUUAAAAAGAUCAAGUACAUUUUUAGGUUAAGGAAAUUCUACUUUCAUUACAGGUGUCUUUGUAAACAUUCAGCUUAGAAAACAAUGCACAGUUGUCUACAUAUCCUCAGCACCUUCAGUGCUAAGAUUUCUGGCAGUCAGGCUACAAGAAUGACAGGUAAAGCAUCCAAAACUAGUAGCUCCAACUGGAAUUUGUGUGUUUGUUUUUUAAAUUCUUUGCUUACAGCUUUUUGUUUUGUUUCAAUGAUUUGUAAAAAUAAAUAAAUAAAUAAAUAAUAAUAAUAAUUAAUGCUAUCUUUCUUUAAUACUUUGGAGUGUUUCUUAAAUCCUAAGGUGUGAAUCUGAACAAUGAAGUCUUAUGACAACCUGGAAAUAACCUGUUAGUGAAAGAUUCUGGUACUGUCUGGACAUGGUUACUUGGGUGUGAGUUCUGUUUUCCUAUCUACCUGUUCUAUUUUAUCUACCUGGGAAUUUUGAAGGGGUGAUUGUCGAUGUUUGUUCAGGAUGACUAACAGGUUUUAAAAAGGGAUUUGUGCUAUUUCUUUGUCAAAUGCAGGCAUGUUUCAAGAUUUGAGCUUAAACUUAGUAGUAUCACUCUUUAAAAAGUCAGAAAACAAAGAGGAAGUGGGAAAAACAUUGUCAAUAAAUUGCAUGACUAAUAAGCCAGAGUAACUGAAGUAGCAUAUUCUAAUGCAGGUUGCUUUACAUCACAUUUCAGAGCAUGCCAAACAUUAGUGUUCUCAGUGCUAGUUGCAUCAGCUACAGGAUAUUACUUAAAAGUAUGGACAAAAUUUUAAUGUCAUUUCCACAGUAGAGGGAAAUGACAAUAAUGAAAGAAAAAUAUGCAUAAAUGAAAAUCAGAUUCAACCAAUACUCAAAUCAUGAUUUUACAAGGUGUAAACUAAUUGUAUACAGACAGGAAGACCUUUCAAGAUCUUUUAUCUCAGUCUGUUGUUGUGGCAAUGAAAAAAACAGUUCAGACUCUACUGAGGAUUUAUUUUGACCCAGAAUUGAGAAGCACUCAUAUGGCUUAGCAUUGUCAGGACUACUGAAAGUCAGGCACAUGUAGAUGUGCUAAGCCAUUUCAUUUUCAUGCAGAUUUUCUAAACUGUGCUAUGCUAAUCAUUGUGGUGAUGAUGCUGAAAUUAACAUAUGCAAUUUGAUUAUAUUUUAUAUGCUUAAAUAAGUUGCUCCACAGGUGCUGUGUAUAUCACAGAACAUGUUUAAGUAUAAUGCACAAAACUGAGAAGGACACUUUUUCUUUUUGCGUGCCUGAAUUUACAUAUAUGUAGUUCAAGUUAACAUACAGCCACAUUUUCAAGCACUGCAUACAUGUAUCCCUCAACACUUCCUGUACCACCUACCUGAUCCUCCUGUUCCCUGCAAUUCAAUUUCAGUGUUUCUCAGAAUAUUGGAGAUAUGAGGCAAUUCAGGAGGUCACCCAUCUAUCCAGCAAGUUUACCUCAGUCACAUGGCUUCUAUAUUUCAAUUUUCCUCCUAUUUAUGUAUAGACUACAAGAUGGUGGUUUCUGUUUGUUUUUAAUUUUGUUUUUAAUUACG